UUUUUUUUUUUUUUUUUUUUUUUCUUUUGGGAAAAUUCCUCUUCUCUCUCUUUGUCUACGAAGAUAUUGAAAAAUCAGAAGAGAUAUCUCUGAAAAAUCGAUUGAAAGCUAACAUGAUGAAAAAAGAGUUGCAGAGAGUGGAAUCUUCUGGUAAAGCUUUUGCAUCCGCAGGUUUGUCCUCCAACAAAGCUUUUAGCUGAUGUUCAGCUGCUUGAUGAUCUCAUCUCUGUUUGGUUGCAUUGGUGAAUCUGACGUUUAUAUGUCAUGAACUUAUGAUUGUGUAUGUAGAAUUGAUUGAAACAGAACUUAUUAGCAUUCUCUGUUUUGAUUCUAAAGACAUAGAGAGGCUGCAUUGUUGAUUUAGAUUGUGAUUUUUUAAGACUACUAUAGUGAAUAGAUCUGUACAAGUGUAUUUUUCUGUUUUUGUUGGUUGUGAUUUACAGGAAAAAAAACAUGGUAUGGUCAAUAAAAGAUUUUAAUUCCAAAUUUUACAAGAACCAAAAGGCAAAUCAAAGAAGAAGAAGAUGCUCAAAUUCGAUGAACCACAGUGCACAAACCCAUCAUGUUUCUUUUGCAGCAGGAAAGAGACCAACCCUUUCCGUCGAAGAUCCAAACUCGCCGCAAUUUUCAAGGAGAUUCCUCGUACGGAGUCAAAAGACCAUGUCUUGGUCUUGAGUGGUCUGUGGAACAUAGCCAUGUCCGAGCCUGACGAUCCUGAGUUCCCAUCACUAGGUUUGUUCGAGUGUAUGUCAAAACUCAUACAUAAAUCAAUCAAAAACAGUGCUUGGCUUCUCAAAGACCAGAACAUAUUCAUUCCUUACUACGCAGCUCAUAUCAUCGGAUCGUAUGUUAUGAACAAAGAAGAUUUGGCUGCAAGAGCGGUUUAUUCAAAGGCUUUUGUUGUUCCUGCUUUGUUGGAGCUUUUGAGAGGGAACAUCAGUUGGGUUAAGCAGCGAGCCGCGGCUCGAGCACUUGGUCACUUAGCUAGUCAUGAGAAGAGCUUUGAAGUGGUUUCUUUGUUGAAGAAGAAACCGUGAAGCUUUCUAUGGAGAUUGCUACUAGUUAUUUGGUUGAUAUGAUAAAGUAUUGGUUCUUGUUGUUCUGAGCUGCCCGCAUGAGUCAUGUCUAAUAGCAUUUGCUUGGUUUGGUUUACGGUAGAGUUGACAGAGAUUAGCUGCUUUCAAUAUGGAUUAGAUGUGAAUUGCUGCUGUUUUCAGUAUGGAUUAGAUGUGAAUUGCUGCUACUUUUUUUUUUUUUAUGUUCAUCUGUUUAAAUAAAGAGUUCAUGAGGAAAUUUCUUUUUUGAUUCAA